CAUCGAUGGAACGAGCAAACCUUCCACUUCUGCGUCAACAGACUGGAAAGCUGGAGAAAGAGAGCAAAUGUUAUUGAGAGACUUACUGAAACAGUUAUUCUGUAACUGAAGUCCCAGUCAACAUCAGCCCUCUGCCUUCUGAUUCAGUUUCCUGACCAAGUGUGUGACACAGGGCAAUAAAGUAAUUAGAACUCUCUCAAGCCCCUCCAAAAGAGUCAAUACAUAGGUUCAUGAACAGUGUGCUGGCAAUAAAAAACAGGUUUAGUUUCACAGUAGACAGAGCAGAGACAUCAGAGCUGUGUACAUCGUCAAGCAUCAAGUCUGAAAACGUAGAAAUUGCUCCAUCUGCUUCUAAUGAUUCACAGAAGUACAAUGACAUCUU